rnacentral:rRNA from 1 species
UACGUAGGGGACGAGCGUUGUCCGGAAUUACUGGGCGUAAAGGGCGCGCAGGCUGUGCUGCAAGUCAGCUGUUAAAUGUCUGGGCUUAACCCGGGCAUGCGGUUGAGACUGCGGUGCUGGAGUGCUGUAGAGGCAAGUGGAAUUCCCAGUGUAGCGGUGAAAUGCGUAGAUAUUGGGAAGAACACCGGUGGCGAAGGCGACUUGCUGGGCAGCAACUGACGCUGAGGCGCGAAAGCCAGGGGAGCAAACGGGAUUAGAUACCCCGGUAGUCCUGGCCGUAAACGAUGAAUGCUAGGUGUGGGUGUAGAGAUACAUUCGUGCCGGAGUUAACGCGAUAAGCAUUCCGCCUGGGGAGUACGGUCGCAAGAUUGAA